rnacentral:rRNA from 1 species
GACGAACGCUGGCGGCGUGCUUAACACAUGCAAGUCGAACGGAAAUGCCCUGCUUUUGUGGGGUGCUCGAGUGGCGAACGGGUGAGUAACACGUGAGUAACCUGCCCUUGACUUUGGGAUAACUUCAGGAAACUGGGGCUAAUACCGGAUAGGAGCUCCUGCUGCAUGGUGGGGGUUGGAAAGUUUCGGCGGUUGGGGAUGGACUCGCGGCUUAUCAGCUUGUUGGUGGGGUAGUGGCUUACCAAGGCUUUGACGGGUAGCCGGCCUGAGAGGGUGACCGGCCACAUUGGGACUGAGAUACGGCACAGACUCCUACGGGAGGCAGCAGUGGGGAAUAUUGCACAAUGGGCGGAAGCCUGAUGCAGCAACGCAGCGUGCGGGAUGACGGCCUUCGGGUUGUAAACCGCUUUCGCCUGUGACGAAGCGUGAGUGACGGUAAUGGGUAAAGAAGCACCGGCUAACUACGUG